rnacentral:rRNA from 1 species
CCGGUAGCUAAAUGCGGAAGAGAUAAGUGCUGAAAGCAUCUAAGCACGAAACUUGCCCCGAGAUGAGUUCUCCCUGAGACUUUAAGUCUCCUGAAGGAACGUUGAAGACGACGACGUUGAUAGGUCGGGUGUGUAAGCGCAGCGAUGCGUUGAGCUAACCGAUACUAAUGAACCGUGAGGCUUAACCUU